AACCAUUCUCACCUGCGGCUAGACCUGCGGAGGGAUCAUUAUCGAGUGUUUAAACCCUUCUUUUUAAAGGGGGGUUACCUCCCGUCCUUUGCUGAGGGCUCCCCUACUGUUUAGGGGGGCUUUUUCAGAAAACCUACUGCUUCGGCGUGGUUUAUACCCGCCGGAACACCCUCAAAAAUUCUGAUCUCAAAACUGUUUCAGUCCGAGAAAAAAUUAAAGCGAAAAAACUUUCAGCAACGG
rnacentral:misc_RNA from 1 species